AGUGUCUAUAAUAAAUAGGUCAGAAGCGUGCUUUGACCAAAAACUACAUUUCCCACAAUGCUUGUCGAUUGUGUUACCCUCGAAGUUACGGCUUACUGUCACCACACGGCAGUGUAGUCAUUGAUGUGGAAACCCUGCCGGAGGGAAGGCGUAACUUCGCGGGUGGACAUACAAAUGUUGAUCCCAUAAUGUCCAGAAAAAGAGAAGUUGAUGCAGACGGACGGCUGUGCUUCAAGGCAAAAGACCGGUAUGCCUUUUGUGUUACGAAGAGUGUUACUGACCAAAAUAAACGCUUUUUAGGAGAGAUAUAAUAGUUUUAAUGACGUUAAUAAACAUCACAGUGACAGCGCUAGUCACAGUUUCACCGCAGCAAAGGACGAGGAUGUGAAUCACUUAUCUAACCAACCAGUACUGAUUUCUGCCCCCAAUAACCCUUUCAAUAACCUCCAAUAGCCUUUAAUAGUCUUCAGUAGCCUUCAACAGUCUAACCUUGCAGCCGUGGUGUGUCCACUAAACUCCGUAGUUAUAAACAUCAUGAGGUUAGCAGCGCGCUAACUGACCUGUUUAUAAUGUAAUCCGAGCAGUGACUCCGUGACGGCUGCUGUUAGCUGCUUGGGCUGAAAGAUGAACUGUAGAGAGCUGUAUUAUCUGGUUAGUGGGGUUAAAACCUUUAUUUCAUACACGGAAGAACUUAAAAUUUUUAAAAACGCUCCAGACUGGCUCAGCUGAUCCCUGUAGCCCGUGGCUGGAGGAGCCGCUCGCUGCAGCCUGUAGGAAGGCGGAGUUGGACAUCCAACCCCGCCCACAUCCAACUCCGCCCAUGUCCAACUCCGCCUUACGUCUAAAGCAACACCCACCUUACGUCCGUCACGAACGCCUACAUUUACUCCCGGUAAACAGGAGUUGUAGCCGAGAAAGCAGCUAAAGCAUCUAUCUGAUUUAUAUCUCCGGUUAUGGCGCAUCCAACACAUGUCCAGGCCACUCCUGACCCUUCACGGUUUGGCCAGUGUGGUGUUUUCAAAUGCCCCUGCUUCAGUUUUGACACUGACCAGCGAUUUAAUAACAGCCUACAUCUACAAAACCAUAUCAAACAAGCAGUCGAGAAUAACGGAAAGUUCAGCGUGUUGAACGUGUGACUGAUGAAGGAGAUAGAAUGGGCAACGUCUCCUUUGAACAGAUGCCCCUUAUUCUCAUAGAUACAGUUCUGGAAGAGGGUGACAAAGCUUUUUUAAAGCUGUCACUGGUUUGUCGUCUCUUCCGGGACAUUGUUUGGACAACAAUCAUUCCGGGCCCGGGCACAUUUCGAGUGGCUUGACAGUGUAGUGCCAUGAAAACAUCACAGUGCUGCAUGUAAAGACGAGUUUCGCAGGAUGUACGAACUGCAGUGCUGCCAGAACUGUCAAACUUAUAAAGACUACAUACUGGGCUACGUUGGGCAUGGGAGACGAGGGGAGCUUGUGGCAUUUUACAGCGAAAACGAGCACCCUGGAUUCUGCAGCCAGCUUCAUGAGUGGCUGGGUGUUUGAGUGGCUGGGUGUGUGAGUGGCUGGGUGUGUGAGUGGCUGGGUGUUGCAUUUUUAAAUAAAGACUUCUGUAUUUGUUUGACCAAAGCAUGUAACCAAACAUUUUAAAGGCUAGUGUGCCAAUAAAUGCCAAUAAAGAUAUUGUAUUAGCUUGGACAAAGUGUUUGUAAAUGGAGUUAAUUUCCCUGGGAACUACUGUCAGCCAUACAAAAUUGGGAGAGGAGAAGCAGGAGAGGGAUAUCAUUAUUAUUAUUAU